rnacentral:rRNA from 1 species
AGCUACAGGCUUAACACAUGCAAGUCGAGGGGCAGCAUGGUCUUAGCUUGCUAAGGCCGAUGGCGACCGGCGCACGGGUGAGUAACACGUAUCCAACCUGCCGUCUACUCUUGGACAGCCUUCUGAAAGGAAGAUUAAUACAAGAUGGCAUCAUGAGUCCGCAUGUUCACAUGAUUAAAGGUAUUCCGGUAGACGAUGGGGAUGCGUUCCAUUAGAUAGUAGGCGGGGUAACGGCCCACCUAGUCUUCGAUGGAUAGGGGUUCUGAGAGGAAGGUCCCCCACAUUGGAACUGAGACACGGUCCAAACUCCUACGGGAGGCAGCAGUGAGGAAUAUUGGUCAAUGGGCGAGAGCCUGAACCAGCCAAGUAGCGUGAAGGAUGACUGCCCUAUGGGUUGUAAACUUCUUUUAUAAAGGAAUAAAGUCGGGUAUGGAUACCCGUUUGCAUGUACUUUAUGAAUAAGGAUCGGCUAACUCCGUGCCAGCAGCCGCGGUAAUACGGAGGAUCCGAGCGUUAUCCGGAUUUAUUGGGUUUAAAGGGAGCGUAGAUGGAUGUUUAAGUCAGUUGUGAAAGUUUGCGGCUCAACCGUAAAAUUGCAGUUGAUACUGGAUAUCUUGAGUGCAGUUGAGGCAGGCGGAAUUCGUGGUGUAGCGGUGAAAUGCUUAGAUAUCACGAAGAACUCCGAUUGCGAAGGCAGCCUGCUAAGCUGCAACUGACAUUGAGGCUCGAAAGUGUGGGUAUCAAACAGGAUUAGAUACCCUGGUAGUCCACACGGUAAACGAUGAAUACUCGCUGUUUGCGAUAUACUGCAAGCGGCCAAGCGAAAGCGUUAAGUAUUCCACCUGGGGAGUACGCCGGCAACGGUGAAACUCAAAGGAAUUGACGGGGGCCCGCACAAGCGGAGGAACAUGUGGUUUAAUUCGAUGAUACGCGAGGAACCUUACCCGGGCUUAAAUUGCAGAUGAAUUACGGUGAAAGCCGUAAGCCGCAAGGCAUCUGUGAAGGUGCUGCAUGGUUGUCGUCAGCUCGUGCCGUGAGGUGUCGGCUUAAGUGCCAUAACGAGCGCAACCCUUGUUGUCAGUUACUAACAGGUUCCGCUGAGGACUCUGACAAGACUGCCAUCGUAAGAUGUGAGGAAGGUGGGGAUGACGUCAAAUCAGCACGGCCCUUACGUCCGGGGCUACACACGUGUUACAAUGGGGGGUACAGAGGGCCGCUACCACGCGAGUGGAUGCCAAUCCCCAAAACCUCUCUCAGUUCGGACUGGAGUCUGCAACCCGACUCCACGAAGCUGGAUUCGCUAGUAAUCGCGCAUCAGCCACGGCGCGGUGAAUACGUUCCCGGGCCUUGUACACACCGCCCGUCAAGCCAUGGGAGCCGGGGGUACCUGAAGUGCGUAACCGCGAGGAGCGCCCUAGGGUAAAACUGGUGACUGGGGCUAAGUCAUAACAAG